UGUGCACGCAGGCCUUCCAAUCAACCGCGCAGUCGAUUGGAAGACCUGUGCACAUGCACAGGCCCAUCGACGGGCAGGCGGUGGGCAAGGAGAGCAAGAGGGCAGCUGUGCGGACCACCACCACCACCGCCUCGACAAUGCCCCUGCAUGGUCUGCGCCACAGGCGACUGCCUAAUUCGCCUCAUUGUUAGACUGCCUCUGAGUGCAAAGGUAGUCAACGUUUCAAGCCAGAUAAUCCCAAGUCCAAAGCCAAGAAUUCAAGGGAACUCCAAAAUCUAUAAAUCAAAAGCCACGCCGGUUGUUUGAGAGUCCAGGGAUUCAAAGUACAUCAAGGUCCAUGAGAAGAUUACAAGAUCAACAGUGUCCAUAGCAAGGUUCUCACCAAGAUGUAAGGUUCAGCAAGGUACAUCACAAGAGUUUAGGAUACCACAAUCCACACAAUAUUUAGCAAAUUAUUAAAAUGAGUACAGAUUAAAAAGAUGCAAAACUAUUAUAUGUGUACAAGUUAUUUUAAAACAUUUUAAACAACUUAGAGAGAUUUCCCUAUUUUUCUUCCCCUUGACCCAUCAAGAAGGUUUUUAUUAAACUGGCAUAACCAAAGGAAAAAUACAUAUGAGUAUGAACCUUAUAUAUCAAUAAAAUAAAUUAAAUUAAUUAUUCAUUUCAGAUGAUGAAACGUGCAGGUUUUAUUGACAGUACUGUGAUUGCUCAGUUGCAGGAUGUCAUUCCAAAGUCCAAAAUGAUGUAGAAGUGAAUGCCUAGAUUACGUUUCUGCAUUUACAAAUUCAAUAAAUGUAUAACAUUUUCAACCCCCCCUCCUAAAACACCAAGCUAUAGAGUAAAAACUGUUUAAAAUUUAUUAAAGACAGAUUGUGCAAAAUCAAGAAAACCACACUGUUAAAAAACUAAUCAAGGAUGAUUUCUGAAAGCCUGUUAGAAUAAAGAAAAUUGUCACAUGCUAGCAGGGGUACAGGGAGGGCGUCACUUUAGACUCCCUAGGGUGGGAGUUUGAAAGUUUGGGGAAAGCCUUCAAGAAAGACAGGGUGGGAUAAUCAAUCCAUUACUUUAUGUAUCCUUUUUCCCAAAGAGGGACUCCAGGUGGGAGAGAUAGAAGAGCCUCUCUUGAAGGUCUUUGGGUUUGAAUAGACCCAUAAAGCAAGAAACGGUUCUUUAAACAGCCCAGACAUGAGUUGCAUAGGGGUUUAUAAGUAAUAACAAUUAAUUCAAAUUGUAGCUAGAAAUAAAGUGGCAGCCAUUGGAGCUGUUGCAACAAGAGAAUUGAGCAUACAAGUUGGAGAUACAACAUUUCAAACACAUGAAGUUAGGGCAAUGACAAGCAUUGCAAAGUGGAUGGGACCAUCAAUGGUAUCACUACUUGUGAGUUAGUUCUCAAGAUUUUCAUUGCCUUACUAUGAUUAAGAAAUUCAUAGCAGAGCUAUGCAGACACAAAUUUUUGGGGUCAAGCCACCUAAGACCCACACAAAAGUGAUCAAUUGAAGGAAAUGCUCUGUGUAAGUCCAAGAGAGUAGUCUGUGAUGAAGCAAAGGUUAGAUCACACAGGAAAUAUGAGACAAAGAUUCAGAGCCAGGUAGUUGCUGCCUCUACAAAGGUCAGUUCAUAACAACAAAACUCCUAGGGUUAGAACUGUUAGAUUUAUAGUCCAACAGCUGUGUCCUACUUGACAAGCAUUUCUGAUAAAGGCAUUGGGAUCUUCUGAGCCUCUCCAUUUCUUGCCAGCAUUUCACCAAAGUAGGUACCUCUGUGACUUCAUCUUGUUGAGAGUAGCUACUUUCAGGUUCAGAAAUGGGAAUUUCCAGUUCAAAGUUUUGUGGCUGCUGGGAGCUACAAUUCUCAGGCCCAGGAUCUGGCACUUCCUCCUGCUCUUCUCUCUCACUGUCUGAGUUCUGGGAGCAGAGCAUGACCAUCACGGCCAUUCUCAUGAUAGGAAUUUUACUGGCAAAAAUGGUAGAUGCCUGUGAUGCUUACACAAUCACAUCAUGCAUGGUAAUCACAAUCUUAAAAGAGUCUAGUUGAAGGAAAUUUUGAACCCCCUCCUGGUAUAAAAUAAUAUGUUUUAAAUACUGAAAUUAACAAUCUUCGCAUAAAAUGGUCUGCUCUAAUUUAGAAUUAAUAUUUCACUUGGCUGCUUGAAAUCAUAACAAUAUUUUGGUAAGUAAAUGUUAGAAAUAGUGUUUCACUAAGUAAGGCAUAAUUGAAGCAAUUUUACAACUUAUUUUAUUGUUCUUUUAUUGUGAAAAAAUAUGCAUGACAUUAUAUUCCCUGCCUAUGAAAUUUUGAAGUUACUUGGAGUUGCAAUCAAUUACAUAAAUAAUGGGAAGUUUGCCCCUAAAACUCUGCUGUAUUCAAUUUUAUCAUUCUUGUGUCUCUCCCCCACACCCUACCUCUUGACUAAUUGCACAAUAAUCGCAAAGCGGUAGUGUUUGCAUCUUGCCAUUCUAAAGAAAUAGUGAUGAGGAGAACAAAUGUAUGUGCAUUAGUAGAUGCUAUUAUCCCACUAGCGGAGGAAAGAGAAUUGUACCUUUGCAUUUCAAAGACCUUCAGUAUCUUUGUGUUCAAAUGGAAUCAGUUGCUUAAUGGACAAAGAUGGGGGGAGGGUAGAAACUUUAAAAAAUAUAUCCCCCCACCACUUACAAAAUAAAUUUAAACUACACUGAAAAGGAAGUUUUAAAAGUAGAUGAAUAUAGCAUGGAAAAUAUAGUAAGCUUGCUAUUUCAUAAAAUUGUAAGUUCACCCUUUUCAAGUCAUUGCUGAUUUAAUAUAUUAAUCAUUAAAUUGAAAAUAUAACAUUUAACACAUCACAUUAUUGCACAACGUAUAAUGGGUUAUGCCUCUGUUGUUAAAAUUACUAAGAAUGAAUGUACACACUCAUAUUCAUGGGAACAAUAAGUUAAACUGUAUGAAAAAUACACACAUAUCUCAAAUGUAAAGGUUCAGGCUGCACAUUGUACCAUAGACGUUAUACUGAAUUUCUGACUAUAAAUUACCUUUGCCUACUGUACAGAAAGCUACUCUGAAUGCCACAUAAAUUUGGCAGUAAUCACAGUAAUAGUAAUAGAAAUGAUGUUGUAGUUAAAAGAAAUACUGCUGAAAUCCAUUUUUAUCUCUUCCCAGUUACAGGGUGGAAAUGAGGAAAUAAUUGUGAGUGACUUCCAAGGUGAAUCAAGUACUAAAAUAGGAAGUGAGAAUUAAUCAUGGCUUCUGUUCUCAUUGGUCUUAGUAGGAAGAUCAGUCUUGCCCAUUCCCACAUGAGCUUGACAAUAUUUUAAGGUCUGUUCAGAGAAUCCUAAGGUCAAGUGAGGUCAUUUUGCUAUCUGAGUACAAGAUGCUGCCUCCCUCCAUAUAAAUAAGCCUGUAAUGCAGGCAUUUGAAAUUUACGACCUCACAUCAGACAAUGCGACUUUUGGUGCCAUGUGCUACUUCCUCUAUAGUUUUAUGACAGAACCCACCAGCUCCUAUCCCACGAUGUUGAACUACUUCCAGUGUGGCUCCAUUGUAAAACUGUAGAGGAAGCAGUGCAUGCUGCUACUGUGACAACACGGGAGGACUCCCAUGUUCAAUUGUGAUCAACAGGUGGAAGCCAUGUGACCCACACUUCCCCCUGUGUGAUGGAGCAACCAGUGAGUUGGGUGAUGCGGGGCAUGGGGCGACGGGUUCCCCACAUCCCCUCAUUCCUGACACUACCUGUGGCCCAUCUGAUGAGGUUGUUACUUCAACAAUGAUGAACUUGUGAUGCAUACCCUUCAACUGUCCUUAUUUAGUAGGGACAAUCAUGAUGAAUUAUUUUUCAUCCCAUUCUUUCAGAUGCUUUACAAAUGUACCAUUUUUUCACUCCUACUACUUCCAGUAAUCUUCAAUAAAUUCUGUUUGUGCAAAUAUUCAUUCACCUUCUCCAGGGAACUUUGUAUAAAGUAAAAUUAUAUGAGUAGAAAACUUUAAAAUUAUUCUUAGUUAUUACUUUCCCUUCCCUCUGUAAUUUUAAUAUCAUUUUCUUUUCCUUCUCUUUUCUUGGGUUUUAAGCAAAUAAUUUCCCCAGUUUAUUAGCAAACUCAAAGUUAUUUUGCUUAGCAUUAUUCAUACCUUUCUCCAUCUCAUUCAUCAUCAUAGAUAACUAUUUCUGCAACACCUUAAUUUGGUUGUUAAUUGAAAGUCUAGUGGUGAUUUCUUUCGUUCCUCCUCUUUUCCUUUAAUUUCAUCCAAAAUCAAUCAAACGUUCUCUUAUCUCUUUAUUUUAAGUUCAUAAUAUUAUAUAAAAAUCCUCUAGUAAAGGCUUAACUAACACCCCAAAUCAGUAUAGUACUCAUAUCUUAAUUAAUAUUAUCUUCAAAAAAAUCCUUUAAUUUCUUCUACUUAAAAAUAGUAUACUAGACAAUGACAAGAAAUUCAUUAUUACAUAGCAUCAUAAACAUAUAAUUAAUAAAAUAAUAUUUGAUGUUGGUUAAAUUUAUUUAUUAAAUAAAAGGAAUAAAUAUUCCCUCCUUAAGGAAGCAUAGUUGGUUCUUUCAGUAAAGACAUUUUGAUUUAGACAGGCACUGUAUUUUAUUUUUAUUAUGAUCUUUAUAAUGACUGUAUACCUUUGAAAUUAAUGCUGUUUUAAUAUGGCAGCUCGUUUUAACUGGGUUUAAAUUUGUCACAAUUUUUUAAAGUUCUUUCUUGUUUUAACUUGGGUAUAAGUUUUCUUGGAUUCCAUGUAAGGAAAAAGGUAGGAUGUAAUACAAACAAAAACAAAUAAACAAACACCUUCACAAUUCAUGCUUGAUCACUACCAGUAGAGAUAUAGUGGGGUGGAUCCCAAAAUGUACUUCAUACAAUGGUAACAAAGAGAGCUAAGUCUAGUAAAAAUCCUAAUUCCAAUUCUAAAAAGAGUUUGCAAAAGUUUUUGUAUGCCACUUUGUGGGUAAAGGAAGCAUUUAAGACAGUAAUUCAAGGUGGGAUCACCAUAGUCCUUAUCCUUGCUUGGAGUGAACAAAUUACAUGGCAUGCAGAGAACUUUUCUCCAGAAAUUCUUACAACUUCAUUACAUGCAAGAUCCCCUCCAUUUUCACACACUUCUUAAGCAGUUUAGAGACAAAGCAACACAGAUCCCAUCAUAUGACGCAAGGGGACUUCUGCCUUUCGCCUGUGCUGCUUCGUUUGUGCACUGUCUCUGAAGUGUAGGGAAACUGGGGGAAGUGAAGCUGGUUAGAAAGUGUCUUCUGAGAUCUUGAUGUGCACGGAGAAAGCGGAGGGAAACACAUGGAAUGGGAUCUGUCAAAUUUGCACAUGUUGAAUUUGCAGUGCCUAGUACAUUUCAGACUUCUGUAAUUGAGAGUAAGGAGCCUGGGAAAGGAGCCUAUGGAAAAAUGGUGUCUGUCUUAAGAACAAUAACUUCUAUCUCCUCUAAACUGAUGGUUGAGCUGGGAGGAGGCGAUCCUGUGUGAUGGGGGGUAAGUACAUUCUCCAUCUUCUUUCAAAACAGUAUGCCACACAAAGAAGACAAUUUCACAUACAAAGUAGAUGAUUUCCCCUGCUUUCCCCCAGCUUCGUCUGAUGAAGUCCGAGUCACUCCCAAUCUCCCGGAAACUCUCAUAUGAGCAGCAUUCUAUCUAACCCUAACCCAGCCAUAAUCCUAACCCUAAUCUGAAGUGAGAUGAGGUGAAAAGAGUACAAAAAAUGGGAUUUCCCAAGAAGCUUCCUUGUUUUGUACCAGAGGAUUUAUAUCUAAUCAGAUAUUGACUCUAAAAUACAUUUUUCUGAGUUUUUUCCCCCUGUUAUCCACUCACUAACUUUUCUUUCUGGCUGUGGAUUGCACCUGAGACCUUUUACAUGUUUCAAAUACACUCCAUUAGUAAACUACACUCUCCCUUUCAUGACUCACCACAGCUCAUUGUGUGGCCCAGAUCUCUUUGGUCAUCUUUCUCUUCCAAGAGCUGUUAUUCACUCCUAACUUAAUUGAUCUUUCCUUUAUUUUUAUAAGUGGAUUGAUUUUUAAUGUAAUUAAUUGUGUGUGAUUUCUGUAACUGAUUUCUUAGCUUUAAUCAAUCUCCUGCAUUGAACCUUGUGGUUUUAUUAACUUUGCACGGUUUACAACAAAAGUCACAUUGACAAAAACUAAUUUUGAGCAGCAGAGAGUUGGAGGCUGAUACAAUUUGACCACAUGAAUAGGUGGCGAUGGUUCAAUGCAUCUGAUCAAGAAAGCCAUGAUAUUCACCUUUAAUUAUUAUAUAUAAAACCUUUUAUUCCUCAGUAUUCCUUUCAUUCUAAGUUCUUCCUGCUUCUCUUGACAUAGAAGUGUACAGCUAUUAAGUAAUUUAAAAGAUAUGAAGCAAAAGAAUUAGGGGAGUAAAAUCCACUAAGUUAUUUCAAAUAGAUAUAUUUGGGUGCAAGUCAACCAUUUUAAAUUUUAAACCUUACUGUGAAAAUACUGACAAAAUAAAAUUAAUGGCUUGUUCACACACACGUACAUUCCUGAGCAUUACAUACAUGUGCAACAUACAGUAAUGAUGGCUUACUCAUUUUAAUGUGCCAUCAAAAAGAAUCCGACAAAUAGAGUUUUCUUAUUCAAUCGGUCAAAUCAUUGUGACAUAUUUCACUUAGGUUAGUUAAUGGCACAUUGCCAGAUAUCAAAUGCAACUUUACUUUAGUUAGUAAAUUUUCAGUCAACAGAUCUCCUCUUUACUAUGACUUUUAUACCUGCCCAGCCUUCCUUUUCUUCUGCUUCCUCUAUCUAUUUGGAAGGGAUUUUAGUAGCAUCAGUCACUGUGUCUAUAUGAGCCAAAAUAAACAUACUCACCUUGAACCCACUGUGAGUAGUAUAUACAUUGUAUGGCCAGUUCAACAGCAGAAAUGCUGUUUCCAGUCAUUAAUUUGGCCCAAGAAGAACUGCAAGUUUUUCUAGAGCUUCCAUGUUUUGUUUUUUAAAAUGUGUGGACAGUUGAAUUGGGCUGGAUCUGGGGCAAUUUAGUAUCAACACAUUAAAAAUAUAUGGAGCUGUUUUACUUCCCAGAAGCAACUCUUCUAGCCUUCUUGGCAGCAUUUCCCUGGGAAUCAUAUGAAUUUGCCCCAUUUUUUGACAUCAUCAGAAGUGUGAUCACCAGCAAAACUUUGCUGGGGAACUACUUUUGACUAGUGAGAUGGUUGCAGUGGCCCUCAGGGGAUAGGAAACCAAUGCCAAUGUGCUUUUGGUUCAGCUGUCUUUGUGAAGUCCAAAAGGACUUUGGACCAGUUUGCUACUGGUAUGUGUUGACUCCCCAUGCUCAGAGCAGCGUACUUCAAAAUAUUUAAUCUGGUGUAGACACAGUCAGUGAUAGAAAAGCAGUUAAGAACACCUAGAGAAAUACAGGCUGUAAGUGGUGGUUUGCAACAGCUUGUCUGCAGUAAGCUGCAAGAAAACUUGGGCUAGGAAGGAUCAUGAUUUGACUCUAGCCUAGGCUUUUUACAUUGGGGCCGCUUUGUGGGCUUUGCUGGGAGAGAGGGGCCGCUCUGGGCAGAGCAGGGAGGGGAGGAAGGCCGAGGAGGGUUGGUGUGUGGGAGUGGGAGGGGGGAGGAAUCUGAGGUGGCAAGUUUCACAUAUGGCUGGAGGGCUAAGCCCAACAUCUGGCCCAUGGGCCAUAGUUUGCCUAGUAAAGUAAGUAAAGUAAGUAAAACUUUAUUUAUAUACUGCCCUCUCUCCUCGAAGGGACUCAGGGCGGUUUACAAGCAUAAAAACAGCAACAUACAUUACAAGCAACACAAUACACACAUUAUUAAACAAAAUUAAAGACCUAUACAACUUGUAAAACAGUGAAGACCAUAAGAAACAAUCACAACAACCAGAAGGAACAGGAAUACAUAAUCAGAUGGGUUGACAUGGACCGUUAUUAGGGAUAGAUUAUCCUUGUACAGCAUGUUUAUGGGCCAGGGGUCGGCGGUACACCAGAGAAAAUUAUUCAAAGACCAGCCGAAACCACCAGGUUUUCAACUCCUUGCGAAAGGAGGACAGAAUAGGGGCUUGCCUAAUCUCCUUUGGCAGGAGAUUCCAGAGCUGGGGGGCCACUACUGAGAAGGCCCACUCCCUCGUCCCCACCAGUCGUGCUUGGGAUGAAGGUGGGAGUGAGAGGAGGGCCUCCCCGGACGAUUUCAGGGCCCGCGCUGGUUCAUAGAGGGAGAUGCGAUCAUGGAGAUAGGUAGGGCCCGAGCCAUACUGGGCUUUACAGGUCAAUAUCUACACCUUGAAUUGGGCCCGGCAGUUUAUCGGCAGCCUAUGCCUGAUCUAAUCUGAUCCAACUGCAGCACUGUGUGCCUGCCUUCAACAGAGAAGGUAAACAACAGCUGUCUCCAGAAUCCUUUGCUGAGCACCUGCAAACAGAAAAACAGAGAGAAGGGGAAAGCAAAUAAGCUUGUCUCACCAGCUCCCCCAGCACAUUAAAAAUAUAGAUCCAUUUGCUUCAUCACAAAAAAUGGGAGAACGUAAGGAAACUGGAAACUGGUGAAAGAAACAGAAUUAUCUCUGGAUGCAUUUCCAAAGAAGCUUUCAUCUGUGCCCUAGAAAGUUCAAAGUGUUUCCAUUUAUUUAUGCAAGGUUUACCUGAGCUGGGUUGUCUCAUAUCAUAUGUGCAUAUUGUUAUAAGCACGUUGAAUUGUUCUUUUUUGUCGUAUAAAAACCUAUCCUUAUUCUUUCCAUGUUAUUUUUUAAAACAUAGGACCACAUUUUCUGGUUCCUUUACAUUCCAUGAUGUGAAGUGCUACUAUAAUGAAUUGACGAAGGCUUUCAUGGUUGAAAUUACUGGGGUGUUGUGUGGUUUCCGGGCUUGUGUUCAAGCGGCAUUUUCUCCUGAUGUUUCACCUGCAUCAGUGGCUAACAUCUUCCUCUGAAGAUACCAGCCACAGAUGCAGACAAAACAUCAGGAAAAAUUGUUGCUAGAACAAGGUCAUACUAAGCCAGGAAACCACACAACUACUAUAAUGUUUCUAACUGAUUUUACAUUAAUAAUAUAAAUGUAGUAAAUAAAUAAAAUAGAUAUCAUGGCAACAUAUUAGUAGUAUGUUCUCUAAAACUUACUUUAUAAUACAGGGUGUCCCAAAAAUCUCCAUACAUAUGGAUUAGUCACCAUAGGCCUGUGGAAUGGUCUGUGAGAUCCCCUGAUCUUUCCCCAGUCGAUUUUUUUUAUUUGUGGGGCCACUUAAAACCCGUGGUGUACAAGGAAAAGAUUAGAAACAUGGUUCAUUUAGUGCCACAUUCUUGCAAUUACUUAGAUAAAAACAGAUAUCUUGGAACAUGUUUGCCAUGAGUGGUAAAGAAGACUUCAUAUAUGUGUAGAAAGUAGUGGCCAAGAUGUAGAGAACAUUUUGUAAAUAUUUUGUAAAAAUGUGUAAUGAAUAUUUUCUAAAUAAAUGUACAUUUAGCAACAAUUUCCCAUUUCCCCUAUAUAUGGUGACUUUUGGGACCCCUGUAUAUUGCCAUAGAAUCAAGUCAUUUACUGAAUUUCUAGAGCAAAAUACUUCAGAACCGUGUUGUCGAAGGCUUUUAUAGCUGGAAUCACUGGGCUGCUGUGAGUUUUCCGGGCUGUAUGGCCAUGUUCCAGAAGCAUUCUUUCCUGAUGUUUUGCCUGCAAAGAAUGCUUCUGGUACAUGGCUGGAAAACUCACAAAUACCCAGUACUUUAGAACCCUUAUUAGUAAUUCUUAAUAUGGGAAAUAUAUUUUUGAAAAUACCUCCAGAAUAACACUGGACUGAAAAUUAAAAAUAAAUUAUAUAUAUUAAGUGAGUUGAGAAAAUGACAUGAAUAAUGAUUUGGUGAAACAUCUUCCUUCUCUAAUUUUGAUGUACACCUUUUUGCUUGAUUUUCUUGCUGUGGAUUCAUUAAUAUAAAUGUAAGUUUUAUAAUGAAUGGAACAUUAGUGAAAGACGGAGAGAUACUUUAGCCAAGAUAUUUUAGUCCAGCAAUUUAACAAAGUAGUUUUCAUUUGGGGGAGUAGUGCAAAUAUUUAAUCCAGAUCAUUAGGUAUUCAAAAUGCAGACAAUUCAAGAUUUACAGCUUGUUAUAUCUGAAUUCUUUUUAUUUGGCUGUUUUAGCUUACCCGUUCUUCUGGAUCCUACUGUGCUAAUGAGUCUGCAUUCAGGAAAUAGAAUAGUCGUACUUUAAAAAUGUAAUAUGAACAUUUACUUAUUUUUAGCUAUGCAAUAAAAUGAGAGGAACAUUUCUUCCCUGAAAAUCAUUCUACAGCUUGGAAGUUGCAGAAUGCCCUUAGUUAAGGAAGGAUGAACAGGAUCAAAAGUACAGAUUUAGCAUAAAUCCAAGAAUCAAUAAUAUUGUGAUUUAAAAGACAUUUAUGUUAUGAAUUUACCAUUUUAUAUAUGAUAUGUACUAUAUAUUUUUUAAAACAUGUUAUAUGUGAUACAGUAGAGUCUCACUAAUCCAAGCCUCGCUUAUCCAAGCCUCUGGAUAAUCCAAGCCAUUUUUGUAGUCAAUGUUUCCAAUAAAUCGUGAUAUUUUGGUGCUAAAUUCAUAAAUACAGUAAUUACAACAUAACAUUACUGCGUAUUGAACUACUUUUUCUGUCAAAUUUGUUGUAUAACAUGAAGUUUUGGUGCUUAAUUUGUAAAAUCAUAACCUAAUUUGAUGUUUAAUAAGCUUUUCCUUGAUCAGUCCUUAUAAUCCAAGAUAUUCGCUUAUCCAAGCUUCUGCCGGCCCGUUUAGCUUGGAUUAGUGAGACUCUACUGUACUUACAAACACAUAUAUACAGCUAAGAUUUCCCCUAAUUCAUAAUUCUGAAAUUCAGAAUACUCCAAAAACCAAAUUUGUCCUCAUGGGUGCUUUUUCACAAACUUGUUUCAUAAAUAAAAUUAUUAAAAAAUAUUGCAAAUAAUAAUAAUAAUAAUAAUAAUAAUAAUAAUAAUAAUAAUAAUGCGUUUUUCUGCCAUUGUAUAUUUCUGCCGCUUCUGUGACUGUUCAUUUGUAUUUUGAUUCCGUAGCCCACUUGUCGAUGGAUGUCCAGAAUCAGCAGCAUCCACUGUGGUCCUUUUUAUCCUGGGUGACGACCGAGCCAGUAUAGACUUGGUUUUGGUUUGAUUCUCCAUAUUGCUAAUGGGUUAGGUGCUCUUAGUUCUAUUCCUCAGCUGAGACCUCUCUGGCUUGGUUGGACCUGCCGGUAGUUACACUACCACCAGCACAGCUCUCAGCGUCCACGGCAAGAUGGCACCUACGGGGGGGGGGGGGGGGGAGCCAGCCAGCUGAUGACCCAAAAUGCAGACUGUGCAAGGAAGCUGACGAAACCAUUGAUCAUAUCCUCAGCUGCUGUAAGAAAAUCACACAGACAGACUACAAACAGAGGCACAACUAUGUGGCCCAAAUGAUUCAUUGGAACUUAUGCCUCAAGUACCACCUCCCAGCAGUAAAGAACUGGUGGGAUCACAAACCUGCAAAAGUAUUGGAAAAUGAGCACACAAAGACACUGUGGAACUUCCGAAUCCAGACUGACAAAGUUCUGGAACACAACACACCAGACAUCACAGUUGUGGAAAACAAAAAGGAUUGGAUCAUUGAUUUUGCCAUCCCAGGUGACAGCCGUAUUGAUGGAAAACAACAGGAAAAACUCAGCCGCUAUCAGGACCUCAAGAUUGAACUUCAAAGACUCUGGCAGAAACCAGUGCAGGUGGUCCCGGUGGUGAUGGGCAAACUGGGUGCCGUGCCAAAAGAUCUCAGCUGGCAUUUGGAAACAAUAGACAUUGACAAAAUUACGAACUGCCAACUGCAAAAGGCCACCCUACUGGGAUCUGCGCGCAUCAUCCGAAAAUACAUCACACAGUCCUAGACACUUGGGAAGUGUUCGACCUGUGAUUUUGUGAUAUGAAAUCCAGCAUAUCUAUCUUGUUUGCUGUGUCAUAAAAUAAUAAUAAUAAUAAUAAUAAUAAUAAUAAUAAUAAUAAUAAUAAUAAUAAUAAUAAUAAUAACUUUAUUUUUAUACCCCGCCUCCAUCUCCCCUCAGGGACUUGGGGCAGCUAACAUGGGGCAAAGUCCAAUUUCCAAAAUAAACAAAAUAAAAAUACAUUCACAAUAAAACAGACAUCAUUGACAUUUAACAUUACACAUAUUAAUCCAACAUUUUAACAACAAUAUAAUGGUAAGUAAAACUGCCAAAUAAGAACAAUGCAGUAGGUUAAAAUAUAAAGCUGGGCAAUGGUGCAAAGAAUGCACAGUUAGAAUCUGAUGAGGUAGAUAGAAGUGCUGUAGUAAAAAGGGGAAAUUCAAAAUGGGAUGAACAAGGAUAGUGUUCAUCCCUUACCAAGUAAGGGCAGAAAAACAAUGCAUCAGGCCCAAUAAUAUCAAUGCUGAGGGAAUUAUUCUUAUGAUCAAUUGCUGAAAGCACACUGGAAGAGCCAGGUUUUCAGAUAUUUCUUAAAGGCCGCCAGGGUGGCUGCCUGCCUGAUCUCCCUAGGGAGAGAGUUCCAGAGCUGAAGGGCCACCACGGAAAAGACCUUCUCCCUCAUCCCCACAAGCUGCGCUUGUGAUGGAAAUGAGAGAGAGAGGGGGGCCUCCCCCAAUGAUUGAAGAGACUAUGCAGGUCCCAAACCGUUCAGGGUUUUCUAGGUGAUAACCUGCACCUUGAAUUGGGACCGGAAAAUGAUCGAAAGCCAGUGGAGUUCCUUAAACAGGAGGGUUGGCUGCUCUCUGUAAGUCACUCUCUAUAAGUCACUCCUGUUAGUAAUCUGGCAGCUGAUUGUUGGACCAGUUGUAGUUUCCGGGCCGUCUUCAAGGGCAGCCCCAUUGUAGAGUGUGUUGCAAUAGUCCAAUUUAGAGGUAAUUAAAGCGUGGACCACUCUGGCCAAGUCAGACUUCACAAGAUACGGUUGCAGCUGGUGCACAAGUUUAAUUGUGCAAAGUCCCUCCUGGCCACCGCCGACACCUGAGCAUCAAGUGUAAGCGAUGAGUCCAGAAGGAUCCCCAAACUGCGGACCUGUGUCUUCAGGGGGAGGUUGCCACACUAUAUCCCUAUCCGAUGAACGACUGACCUGGAGGACUUCUGUCUUGUUGGGAUUAAGCUUCAGUUUGUUCGCCCUCAUCCAGCCCAUCACAGCAGCCAGGCACCGCUCCAGUAUCUGGGGGGCUUCCUUGGAGUUUGGUGGAAAAGGGUAGUAAGAGUUGAGUGUCAUCUGCGUAGAGAUGGCACCGAACUCCAAAACCCCUGAUGACCUCUCCUUCAAGCUCUGCUUAUAAGAUGUUUCAUAAUCAAAUUACUAUCUCAUUAUGUACAUAUAAGCAAAUACAGGCAUUCCAAACGCCAAAACAUCUCCAAAUUCAAAAUACUUCUGGCACCAACCAUUUCAAAUGAGGCAUAUUCAAGCUGUAUGUAUAUUUUUAUACAUGAAUGAUAUGUGAUAGUAUCGUAGCACAUUAUAUAUAAAAAUGAUAAUUUCAUGAUGACAUAAUUUGUUAUUCAAAUCACAAUAUUUUGGUUUCUAGACCUUGCGCUAAUCCAUAAUUGAUUAUUUGCAUCUUUCUUAAUCUAAGCCUAGUAACUAUUCAGUGACAUCCAAGGAUUUGCAAAAUAUGCAGCUAAUCUUUCAAAGUUAUACAUGGAUGUAUAUGUGUGCAUGCACAUAAGCUCAUAUCUAUAUUUGAUUGUUGAUAAAAACUACUAGUACAUUUUCAGUCAUACAAAGAGGAUACUAUACAAUUGGAGUACAUUAUUAGAUGUAAUGAAUCCAUGAAAUUAAUGCCUUGGAUACAUAUUGGGAGAAAUGUAAAAUAUCAAAUUAAUUAAUUAAUUAUUGAAAAUAGGCAUUUCUGAAAAGCAUCUAGCAUUUCGGCUUUUGCCUUCCUUGGUGAUGUCUGUUAGAAUAGAAGAGGUAAACCAGUUGUAGUUCUAUAAUUCCCAGAGUCUUGACAUAGGAAUUGGGAUAUGUAGAUCUCCAAGGGUACUGUUGUGGGUGAAAGUAAGGGCAGAAUUGUAGUAUUGUGCAAAAUAUUAUAAGCUUUCAGCAGUGUUAUGCAAAAUAGUCCAAACUUGCAGAGAAAUUUUGGACUUUUUUGCACAACACUGCUGAAAGCUUAUAUUAUUUUGCACAAUACUAGCCUGUAUUGUGACAAUAUCGUGUAUGUUUUCCAUUGUACAAGUGGUUUGUUUUGGAUUCCCUGGGGGUGUUUUACUCUGGUUUACUCACAAAUCACUUAGCAUAUGGAGGAACAGAUGUAGCUCUAGGAUAAGGGUCUUAAAGUGUGUAUUACCCAAUUUGAAUUCUGAUCCACCAAAUGAAAUUUUCCUUCAAUUCUCAAAUUUCAAACAUUGACACUUAGAACUUUUGUAUUGACUAUGUACACAUGCCCUUGGUGAUUUUUGACUGCUGAACUAAAGUUAAAAGUUAUGCAGUGUUAGAAAUGUGGGGACUGAAGGAAAAUUUCAAAAUUGUAUAAGGACAAUGUUCUUUUUUGCACCUUAACCCAGGUGCUCUCCCUUCCGAACUCAUUAUUAGAACCUUCAGUAGCUCACUUUGCUGAUAAAUUCUCUCACAUAAGAGCCAACUUAAACACCAUCAUUGGAACAGAAGACAAAAACGAGGUGUCCAGCAAAUCUGUGAGUGGGAUUACACUGGAUAUGUUUCAAUUGGUGAGUACUGUUGAUGUGGAUAAGCUGCUGGGGCAAGUAAGCAAGACAACCUGCUUUCUUGAUGCCUGUCCUUCUUGGCUGGUCAUCCAGGGAGGAGAUGCAAUUCUAUCUCAAAUACAACAACUUAUUAAUGCAUCUCUCAGGGAGGUGAAUUUUCCAUCUUGUUUAAAAGAAGCAGUAGUUAAACCACUGCUGAAAAAGCUCUCCCUGGAUCCCCUGGACCUUAAUAACUACAGGUAAGUGUCCAAUCUCCCCUUUUUGGGGAAGGUGAUUGAGAAUGCAAUUGCCUUUCAACUUCAAGCUGUCUUGGAUGACACAGACUUUCUUGACCCAUUUCAAACUGGUUUCAGAGCAGUAUAUGGAGUUGAGACUCCUAUUGCCACCUUAGUGGAUGAUCUCGAUCUCAACACCAACAGGUCAAAUAAACAACCAUUAUUUCAGACCAUCAGUGGCACAGAGAAUGUCUCGUGGGAGAGAAUUAUGCAUGGUAGAGUGUGACUGCUGAAAAAAAGUUCUGUUCUUAGUAGAAGGUGCCAUCAUGACAGAGAACUGUGACAAUUGAGGCAAGUGUUCAUUUGAUUUACCGAGCGGGAGGUGUCAUGGGAUACAUAUCAGAGAUGUAUAUAUAGAAGAAAAUUAUUCCUAUGUUUCUCAGUGACUGUGACUGAGUUUUUUAAAUGCAUCAUUGUGGGAAACAUUAGUAAAGGAUGUUUCAUUCAUGGGGGACAACUGAGGCCACUUGCUGCAGAAAUAACUUUUUAACUUAUGGCUGCAUUUUCUUUAUUUCUUGUUUUCCAUAUAGAUUACUUAGCUCCUUAUAUUUUGAGAUAUACCACUUGGUUAAUGUUCUGCAGCUUACUUUCAUUGGUAGUACAGAGGAAGGCCUUUUUCUCUGUGGCACCCACCAUGUGGAACAAUCAUCUCAUUGAAAUCAAGCACUCCCCCCUUUCUUCCACCAUCAAUGGAAGACAGGCUUUUAAUUUGUUGCUUGCUAUAUUCGUCAGUCAUGCCUCGCAAAUAUAAACAAAUAUGAUAUUGUUCUAUCACUGUUUUGUUAAUCACAUUUGUUGUCUCUAGCCUGUUAUUGUCAUCAUAAAACACUUCAGGAUUUCUAAAGGAAAAAUAAAAGUAUGAACAUAUAUUUAAAAACAUUAAUGUAUAUAUUUUGAUCACUGUUCCUGUCCUAUCAGCUGAAUAGGAAACAACCAAGUGCACAUUAUUUCUGCUGACUAAUAUCUCAAAUACAGAUUCAAAACAUUUUCAAUGAAACAAGAUAGCUGCUAUGAAAAAUAUUGUCUUUUUGAUGACACCUGAAGAGCUUUCUUUUCUUUAGUCUUCCACUUUUAAAAUUGUGCUGAUACUUUCAAGGUCCAUCACAACCAUUGUCACAUUUGUUUCAUUGUCUUGUUCCUUCAGUGAAUUUUAGAUUGCUUAAAAAUAUUUUGGCAUUUUGGCCUUCCAUCCCUUGUUUUGAGCUCUGUCUCGAUAGUGUCAGCUAUUGAGCAAUACCAAACAACAAUAAAUAAAUAAAAAAAUAAAAUAAUAAAAAUAGAAUAUAAAUUUUAUAUUUGUCACUGGGAGCAAUCCAAGAACACAUGUUUGGUCCAGAGGGAUUUCUUCCCUUUGAAAAAGCAUCUCUCAAAGCUUCCAUAUGUUUCUUUAAUUCCCCAGUAGUCAAAUAGCUAUUGGAUGGUGUGAUUUUAAAAAUAUUAAAGGGGAAUAUCAGGGUAAGGUUUCAUAUAUCCUUUAUUUCUUUUCACCCAGGAAAAAAGUGCACUGUAAAUUCCCACAUAACUCUGCUUAAGUGCUGUUUAUGACCUGAAAAGCUCUAUAUGGCUUGGAUCAAGGCUGUGUCAAGGAUAUUCUGUCAUGUCAGACUCUUCAUGUGCUGAGAUUACCUAUUUCAAUGUGUUUCGAGUUGCCUUAGAGAAAGUUGAGGCAUACAACAAACAAACAAUCUUGUUGCGUUCCCUUACUCUGUGCAGCAUUGCAGGAAGCCAUCAUCAGUCUACCCCUUUCUGUCUUUGUCCAGCCGCCUAACCACUCACCCAUAUGCUUCCUCACUUACUACCUGAACCAGGUAGUAAGUAUUAGCUUUCAGACUGGAGCUUUCUGAAAAAGAUUGGCUUGGAGGUUUUCUGAUGGUAUUUUCUGGGCAGACUCUCCCAGGAAAGAAAGAAAGAAAGAAAGAAAGAAAGAAAGAAAGAAAGAAAGAAAGAAAGAAAGAAAGAAAGAAAGAAACCAGAUGCAUUAUCAAGUCUUUCAGUUAUAUUCUGACAAUCAAAUCCUAAACCUAUAUAUGUUUAAUCCAGUGUAAUAUGGACCCCUUACAUUUAGGCAGUGCAGAAUUGCAGACUUAAUAUAGCAUAUUAAUUUAUUUUGUUACAGGGUGCAUAUUUUAGUUCCUUUUAAAACAAAAUCAGUUUUAAAUGGAAAUUUAAGACACUUGCAUUUUAAAGCAGAUUGCUUAAAUACGAUGGCAAGUCGAAUUGAUGAUAUACUUAAAAUUGUUUGCCUAAAUGAGAACCCUGUAUGUGUGUCUAUGUGUGGUGUGCCUGUGCCUGUCUGCAUGUGUGCCUGAGAGUCCAUCUAUUUCUUCCAGCUGGACAGCUUGCUUGAUUCUCUCUCCCUCUCCCUCUCUCAUUGUAUGUUCCAUUUGAAGCUAGUAAGGAAAGCCAUUUGGCACUGCUAAAUUGGAAAAGGAAAUUUAUUGUUAGUAACAAGUGCAAAUUCCUCCACUGUAGCCCUGGCCACACUGAAUAGCUUUGAGAAACUCUGCAGUGGCUUCAGCAGAGUCCGGAUUUUGUCCUGCAUAAUUAUCCACAUUUCCUCUGGCUGUGAAUCUGCAUUUUGGUAAACUAUAUUAAGAACGGCUGAUAUGACCGCCGAGUAUAAGCACAGCAUCUGCAUCCUCCGCCUUCAAACUUUAUGAAAAGGCUAUGUGAUCUGAGAAGACAGGUCUAUCACAGCCCUCUUCUCACUAUUCUGCCAUUCUUCUGAAAGGCGAUUGGAGCAUUUAACUAUGCAAGAACAGAGUCUUCUGCCUUGACAAGGAUUGUUUCCUUUUCUGAAUUGUAGCAUCGAAAUAUACAAUGCACAGAGUGGAUGAUCCUAAAUUCAGCUUCUAAACCACACAAGCUUGCGAUGCAAUUCCAAAAAGUAUUUUAUACAAAAUUGCAACUAAUCAUCAUGAACUAUCAUACCAAUUGUGGAAAAUGGGUCUCCAAAUCUUAAAUGUGACAACUAUGAAAAACUGGUGAAAUCAAUCAUGUUGCAUGUAGACUUCAUAAAGACUAUAUGGACUUGAAACAAACCCGUAUUCUGUAGUUGCCCAUUACAUUAAUCAUGUGCUUUAGUUGUCGUUCUGCACAUGAGACAUAUGAAGACAGAACUUUGCUAUGUGUUAAGGUUGCAAGAGAAUGGGAUUGUGAAUCAUCUGAAUCAGACAUUUCUGUUAAACAUGCCUGUCUCUAAAAUGAUGGAAAUUCAUAAGAGCUUCUUGCAUAGAGAAAAUGUGAAUCCUCACCUGUAUUUUAAUGUUUUUGCGGAGGCAAAAAAAUUCCCAAUCAAAUAAAGGCCCCCAUCUAAACAGCCACAUAACGAAGUUUGAAAUUGCAUUAUAUGGCAGUGUCGAUGGGGCCUAAGAUUAAGCAUGACCUAUACAGACUUACCUGGGAGUAAGCCUAAUUGAAUUUGUCAGGGCUUACAUCAAAGUAAACAUAUAAAACAUGGCUGUUAGGCAUAUUAGACUCUGCUAUGUAAAGUAUGCUGCUGUACUGAUUCAGUAUUUCUACAACAGAUUUGAGUCUGCUUCCGAAAUACUACUGAGGAAUGGAAAAGAUUGGCAUAGUAAAACAAUUUUCAUUCUAAUUCAAGUAAAUAAAAUAAUGUUUCUUUAAAUGAUAGGUCCUUUGGGAAAACUAUAUAAACUGAUAAAGGAAAAAUGAGUAUUGAUUUAAUUGGCUUUUUAAUGAUCACCUUUCCCCCUCUAUUUGAUAUCAAAAUCUGAACAGAAAGGUUAAUCUAACUAUACAUUUAAGGCUUUUAAAGGCUCCAUUACAAGAGUUAUUAUGCUAAAAGAAACAUACCUGGCAUGCUGCAGGUUUCUAAAUGUAUCAGUGAUGCAUGUAAUGAUUCACUUAAACCAUCAUGGUCAGAAUUUUGCAUUAUUUCCAUGUAAAUUGGAUGCUUUCACAAUUACUAUAAUAUGUGUGAAAUUCCACUUAUUAUUUCUUUUAACAUGAAACUUUUUCUCACUUAACUUAAACUCACUGGACAGAAUAUUUGAACCAUUUGCAAUCAUUAGAGCAUUUUUGUUUGGUCAAAACCCUUCUGGGAUUAUAGCUCUUGGAUGGGGAAGGGGGUAGCAAAGAAAAAGUACAGUGAAUUACAUUUGAGGCAAUGGAAUGGUAAUUUUAAAUACAAGAAAGGGCAUCUGGGGUAGUAGUCAUUAUAGGAGGAUCUAGUGCUGUUUUUAUCUCUUAUGGACAUGUUCCAGCUUUCUUUCUCUCCCCCAUCCCACUUUAUGAGCUUUUUUUCCUGAUAACAUAGCACAAUGAAAAAGAAAUCCAGCAGGUUAGGUUGUAAUGCUUUUGGUUUCCAAAGGACAUCCUGGGUGAUCUCAACAACUAGUCCAGCUCAUCAGAAUUGUGCCAUAGGUUCUGCACCUGGAUUCUUAAGGAACUGGUUCAAAUAGAUCUCUUAUCCUGUCACUCAAAUGCAAAGAACUUGUUGUUACACAUUUGGCUUGGAAAGUGCAGGUCCUGGUACAGAUACUCUGGCCCACAACUUUGAAAGUUUCUCAGGGCUUGAAUGUUGCUUUUAAUAAACAAGCAGUUGAGUAUCCCUUACUCAAAAUGCUUAGGACCAGAAGGGUUUUGAUUUUGUUCAGAGUUUUGAAUACUUGUAUUUGCAUAUAUGUACAUUAUGAGAUAUCUUAUAGAUGGGAUCUAAAUACAGGAUUCAUUUAUGUUUCCUACACACUUUAUACACAUAGCCUAAAGGUAAUUUUUUUGCAAUACUUUGAAUAGGUUUCUGUGCUUUGAACCUUCAGAAAGCAAAGGUGUCACUCUCUGAGCUACCAUAUAGACAAUUUCAGAUUUUGCGGUAUUUUGGAUUUUAAAAUUCUGGAAAAGGGAUAUUCAGCCUGUAUUUACAGAGUGCAAAAUGUAAUUAUUUGUUCUAAUAGUUUCAGUCUUAUGAAGCAAUCUUAAUUUUGGGACUAGAAUAGUUAGAUCACAACCCUAUUACAGCCCUGUUACUUGGGCAAUAUGCUUUCUUCCUGUUCAUUAAUUCAAUGAUCCAAGAUAGUAUGGGAAAGUUAGGUUGGUCAAUUUCAUGAUUUUUAGGUGAUUGUUCUCUCCCAUACUUACCUUGGCUUUUAUGGAUGACCUAGAGGCUAGAUAGCAUCAAAUGGUGGCCACUUCCUUCCACCAUCAUUGCUGCUGUCUUUUCCUUUCCUUCUGUUGUCACUGUUGCUACUGCUCUUCUUUCAUACUUAUGCUGCCAGUAAAGCCUAAGUAUCAUGGCCUAAUUUUUAGGUAGCUCCAAUACAUCUGAAUGUAACAAGUUGCUGCCCGUAAUACAAAACACAUUUUCUUCCGUUGUUGUUGUUGUUGUUGUUGUUGUUGUUGUUGUUGUUGUUGUUGUUGUUGUUGUUGUUGUGUUCCUUCAAGUCAUUUCUAAUCUAUGGCAAUCCUAUCACAAAGAUUUCAUGACAAAAAAUUUUCAAAAGAGGUUUGCCAUUGCCUUCCUCUGAAAAUGAAAAAAGUAUAACUUGUCCAGUGGGUAUUAAGGAUGAGCAGAAAUUUGAACUUUUGUCUCCAGAGUUGUAGUUCAAUACACAAACCACUAUGCCAUACUGGCUUUUUCUUCUUAUCCAUCUUGUCAUUGCCUCUACACCCACAACAGAGCACAAGAAGGAGCCAGCUAUAUAUGUGGAUGAUUGGCAGAAGUCCCCAAACACCCAUCAAUAUCACAAGGAACAAUGCAAGAUGGCACCUAAAUCAUGUGGUAUGCCUAAUGCGUGCAGGACUAUUAUAGCAGAUAAUACAGCAAGCAUCUUUAUUAAGUAGAAUUCAGCAGGGCUAGUGCAAUACAAACCUGUUGUAGAAACAGGAGAAAUGACUCAAUGUGCUCUUGUAAAGUAAAAAAAUAUAUAUUUGUAGUAUCCAACUUAUGAUAGUAAAGGAGAUAGACAAAAGAAAAUCUAUACUUGGUUACGAGAGCACCUAAAAACUGACUUUCAUGUGUAGGUGUAAACUAAUACUCAUUGUUGAGAUUGUAGCCUCAUAGAUGCUCCUUCCAGGGAAUGGAAAAGCAAAGAAGCUGACUAACUUCUUGAGAAAGGGGAGAAGUGAUGUGUGAUGUAAUCAGCAAGCAAAAGGCCAAAAAGAUACAGGGGGAUGAAACCAAAGGACAAGCAUUCUCUAGACUUCCCUCUCUCACUCACUCUCUGUAUACCACUUUAUACAAGUGUUUGUCUUUUUAUUUCCAACAUUGCAGUUUUCAAUGGGAUCACACAUUGGUAACCCUAAAAGUAACUGUUAUGCUGGUAAGUGAGUGAUGUUCUUCCUCAAACAGUUAUGAUUCUAAGGAAAACGAAAUGAAUUCAAAGUAACUGGUUAUUUGAGCUUUCUGUCUUUAGAGACAUUUGAAGAAUCCACUUCAGCUGAACUUAUUUGUUGAGCAACCAUGGUGUCUCUGCCACAGAAUUCCUACAAAGCUACAAACAAUUAUUUGGCAUAUUUCACAUGUGGGAUUCCAGCCUAGGUGGUUAAAUCUUCAUUUAAAUAAUGACUGCAUGACAGAUAAGGACCACAGAGAGCUGAGCUAAAGUACCCAAUGUUUGGGGAGGUGUUAGCAAACUCCUGAACCUAUAAGUCAUGUCAGACAAGAUUUCCCACCAUUUCAAGUCAAUGUACAUGAUUGCUGGUCUACCACAGGAAUAACUACCAUGCCCAAGAUAUGGGAUGAAAUAAGGCUGACCUUAUUGUUAUUGGUUUUUGGUGAUGAAAAAAACUAAAGGGAGGAGCAACUGGAGAAGUAGGUCUCACCCAUACCACUCAGCUGCCCCAGGAUGAAACAUCAUAAUCCCAAAGAGAAAUCACAGGCCAGCUACAGACUGGAAGGGUGACCAGAGGUCGUAAGUCCUUAACCCACAUGGCCUCAGAGGGCAGAGACCAACCGCAAGGUCAAGAAUUUUUUCACAACCCCAAAAUCACAUCCUUACUCUUCAUCAAGUGUGCCAGAAGGUGAUCAUGACUCCCUCCAAUACUAGCCACAGAGAAGUGGUGUGAGUGGCAGAGGCCGAUGGCACCCAGCAGUCUGGAAAGCAGUUUAAAAUGGCUGCUUGGCAGGAAAGAACCAUAGAGAGCCAAAAGGGACUGCACAGUGUGUGAGGAGAUAUCAGCAAACUAAUGAACCCAAAAGUCAUGUCAGGAUUUCUUGCCAUUUAGCAUCAAUGCACACAAUUGCUUGAAUACAGAGCAUGGAAAAUGGGCAAGAAAGAUUUUUCUAUUCAGUGACGUACUGUAGUCAUGCUCAGGAUAAGGUCAGGUGUUUUUUAUGGUUCUACAUGCAUACACAUGCUCAUACAUUUACAGCCAGAAAAAUAGCAGAGAGUUUACACAGGUAAUGGCAGAAAGAAAGUAUGGGGCCAAUGUCUGGCUGCCAAAUCCAAAGUUUUGAGUUUGAUUUCUACUUCAGAACAAAGAUGUAAUGCAAUCUAAUUGAACAUGUGCUGGAUUUCCAUUGAAGAGGCAAGGAUAACCAGCCCUCUUACCUUUCUAUCUAAUUCUAAUCAGAAUAUAAUAGCACUUGUUAAGAUUAAAAUUAAGACAAGAGUUCUAAUUACUUAGAAAUUUUCACAGUGGAUAUUUUCCAUCAACAAAUACUUGUAAUGAAUGCCUUCAAUUAAUUACCUAAUGUUGGUUCAAAAUAUUGUGUGAACUUAACUGACCCCCUUCCAAGCUUAAGUUCAUUAUUUUUAAUUUAAAAAAAAAAGACUUGAGGGCUGGUCUUGGGAAAAUUCUGUUUUAUUACUAACAGUAACAUUUACUCAACACAGUUUUAAGAAUUAACUUAAAAGAAUGAGCUUAUUGAUAUAUGAAUGUUUUUCUUAGGAUCUGAGUGUGUGAAUUAGAAUUUUUCAAAAUGCACUAAUUGCUCAUGUUUUUCUUUGUUACUGAUUCCAGUGAGUAUAACAUUAGAAUUCAAGCCCUCUGUCUUAAAAUGGUCAGUGUAUAGUAAGGAUGCAGAUAAAUGUAGUAUUUUAAUAAUAGAGUUGUCUGAAAACACGUUUAUUUUAUUCAGACAAAGCAUACUGUUUCUUCUACAGAAAUCAUUUGGAGAGGUAAUGCCACAAGUUAAAUUCAGUGAAUAUACCUAUUGAACCAAUAAACAUUAGUCUUAUCAACUCUU